AACGUAGGAGACGAGCGUUAUCCGGAUUUACUGGGCGUAAAGGGCGCGUAGGCGGGCAGGUAAGUCAGUGGUGAAAUCUUCGAGCUUAACUCGGAAACUGCCGUUGAUACUAUCUGUCUUGAAUACCGUGGAGGUGAGCGGAAUAUGUCAUGUAGCGGUGAAAUGCUUAGAUAUGACAUAGAACACCAAUUGCGAAGGCAGCUCGCUACACGAAUAUUGACUCUGAGGCACGAAAGCGUGGGGAUCAAACAGG
rnacentral:rRNA from 1 species